UACGUAGGGUGCGAGCGUUGUCCGGAAUUACUGGGCGUAAAGAGCUUGUAGGUGGUUUGUCGCGUUGUUCGUGAAAACUCACAGCUCAACUGUGGGCGUGCGGGCGAUACGGGCAGACUUGAGUACUGCAGGGGAGACUGGAAUUCCUGGUGUAGCGGUGGAAUGCGCAGAUAUCAGGAGGAACACCGGUGGCGAAGGCGGGUCUCUGGGCAGUAACUGACGCUGAGGAGCGAAAGCGUGGGGAGCGAACAGG
rnacentral:rRNA from 1 species